GGGAUUGACUAUUCGUGCAGUUGCUGAUGCUAUAAGUAGUAUUAUGAGCACUGGUGUGUACCCACGUCAAAUAAGGGCUUUCGAGAUUGCGUUCUCGCUAUUAGCCGGAGGUACAUAUGUAGGCCCCGGACAGUCGUACACGUCGAUCAAUUGGGAGUUGCUAGCGUGUGUCAUGUGCCAUCGCGGUACUGGCAAGUUCGAUCUAGCAGAUUGGGUAUUUGAGAUCAUCAGAGCAGCUGUCAAAAAACUACACAGAGAUCUAGCAGCUGGGGUCAGAACUCUAAUCGUAGGCGGGUGCCAUUUGGCUCUCAUUGUAAGUGUGACCAAAAAACAUGCCUUGUCUUAACAUGAACCAUCUAGCGUGUUGCAUUUGAUAGGUAUGUAACUAAUUGUUCCCCCUUGAUUGUUUGCAGCCAUGGUUCUUCGACUGGAUGGAUUUCGGGCCAGAUAGUGUAGAGCCGUACACCCUCCCCCGCAUCAGCGUUUACACAAGGCCGAUGUUCAGGAGGCUAAUCUACCUUACAAGAGAGUACCCAACUAUAUUCACUGUAAGAGGUUUUUGUAGUUUUGCACUUAAGUAGCACAUAGUAACAAUGUAAAAAGCUUUGAAAAACGAGUUCGCGAUCGUGGAGACUGAUAUUCACUCUAACUUGGGGUGUUUUUAUCCGGCAGACAAGGCAUGCUGAUGCAUUUGACCAGGUUAACAAUGUCUGGCAUGCCGUGGUUGGGGGGCCUGGAGGAUUCCUGGUUGUGCAGAUGCAGACGACGAGUCAUCAGAUGUACCACCAGGGGUGCCUACAAGAUUGUGUGUGUUUCAGACUUGGAUGAAGAGUUCCUUGCCGUGGCAUCACAAGUGCCAAUCGACUGGUUUUUGUGCAAGUUGCAGCCGUGCUUGUAGUUGGAAGCGGAUGGGAAGGAGAUGAGUUGGACGAAGACCCACCGUUGAACGGCCUCAUCUUGCUAGGCUGGCAUGGUGUUGAUGACAAUUCAGAUGGUGAACGUGAUGGCAACAAGAAACGUUCCCUUGAGCAACGGAGGACCCGGGCACAUGUCUUUGAUGUUCCUCCAACCUGUCGUCCCGGUCAUUCCUUUCAUCGUGAUAAUGGAGGUGAAUGCCGCAAAAGCAUAGCUUGCAUUUAGUGUAUGCCUCUUGUCAUUCAUUUGAUUCCUAGUGAAAACUGAUGAUUUGGUCGUCUGAUGCAGAUAUGGAUGACAGUGUAGCUCGUCGAAGCGGAUUGUCCUCCGUAGAUGGUGGUAAGGCAUCGACAUUACAACAAGCUGUCCUCAAGUACCUUCACAGUUGUAGCAGUGCCAACGAGGGUGGAAACAGAACUACAACUGCACAUGGGAGUAAUGCACACCAUGUGAGCUCGUCGGAAGCAAUUGCAGCCCCUCCUACGGCUGCCAGGGACGUCAGCCAUACAGAGCAGCAAGAAGCAGCUCGAGUACAUGUGUUGGAUGUGCAAACAAACUGCCAUCCUGGUCCUUCUUUCCGUCGGGAAGAUGGAGG
rnacentral:lncRNA from 1 species